UCCUCGAAUCUAGAUACAUCCCAAGGACAUCCAGUGCUGCAUCUUAGACUUCAGACCUUGUGUCACAUUUAAAGCCCAUGGCCUGGGUUAUCUGGGUCUUCAGUAUGAGGUGUCUACCAUGCAGGCUUCUAGCUCUGCUUUACUCUACAUGCUCUCCAUGAGUUCUAAGUCUCUAGUCCUAAGAUGAGAUUCUGCAGAACCACUGAAGUGAACGAAUUAGUGCAUCAAGAUUCCGACAUACCCAAGGUUGCAGCUCUCAGGCUAAAAGGACAAAGAGGUUUUCCACAUUUAACAAGAUGUUCAUUGUUCUGUGUUACUUCUACAUCAGUUUUCCAAGUAAGAAAGUUUUUCUGCGAGGUGCUUUGAGAUCCUGUUUCACAGUUAGAAGCAAUAUCUUAAAAUCUCAUAGUCAGCCCGUACCUACAUUCAAUCACAAACAAGAACAACAAAAAAUCUACAAUGCUUGUUUGUUCUUUUCCUCUUCUGAAGACUAGCCUAAUCGUGGUCUACUCUUGGGGGCUUGAGAUGACUUUCUUUUGCUACCUUCCCAGGCUGGGUGGACAAAUAUGGGAGCGGUAGAGUGCAGAAGACUACAGCCCUUACAGAGAAUUUGAAUUGAAUUGAAAUCCUAAACAGACUGAAUGAUGACCCCCAAAGAGACAAUUUUAAACUAGAAGGGACUUAGUCACCUCCAGUGGAGACUCCAGAAUUACUAUAUUUACAGGUUAGAGAUAGAAAUCAUACUGGGAGGGAGGAGUAGAGUACAAUGAAGUUGAUUUAUAUGGAAUUAUAACCAUUCCAUUUAAAUGUCAAGAUUAAGAAAUGCUCAACAUCAGUGGAAAUGAUAGCACUAAAGCCAACAUAAUGUAGUAAACAUCAUUAGCACCUAUGAAAAUGGUAUCUGCUCCUUUGAGACACAUGUUCCUGUAAAGUUUUGGGCUAAGCCAUGCCACUUGUUUGGACAUUGAAAAAUGACUAGGAAUGAUAUAUAUCACAUGUAGGUAGAAGCAUUCAGGGGCUGUAGCACAAUUCUCCUGCUGUCUUUGUCCAUCAAUGCAAACUCUGAAGAUUUAUAUUCAGAUGGUGUUGUCAUAAGAUGAUGGAGAUUUACCACCUUGGGAUUGUGAGUGAUUACAACAGAUUCACACAUGAUGAGUGGAACAUAAACCUUUGUUAUUUUGA